UAGACAAAUUGUUUUAUAAAAGCACCCACAGCGCAGCUAUUUUGUUCCAAGUCCACUAAGAAAAAAAAAAACUAAUUCGGCAACAUUGUUAGCUGUAAAAGAGUGUAAAACGUUUUGAUUUACGUUAGCGUGGUUAGAAGGAGUGCCCAAAACCUUAGGACAGAAUGGGGGGGGCCGGCAACAAAUGGUGCUGGUAAUGGUACAGUUGCCAUUGAAAGGUUACUCAACGCAUACAUGCUCGCCUGGCAAAACACACACGCGCACAAAAUGGUGGUGACCUAUUAAUAAUUUUCCUUCUCACUGCUCUCACGUUUUGUUCUCGUGUGGUGGGCUAACUGCCGAGAUCCUCUAGCUGGAUACCAGACAAGACCAGUUAGCUAGUGUUUCAGAUGGCCAUCAAAGGGGUAAAAGUAAAUGGACAGUGUGGUUUAUAGUGCAUAGUAGCUUUAGAGAAUGGUUCGACAGACAUUAUUUAUUUGUUUUUGCGCCCUAAAAAUGAAAUGUUCGAACCGUUUUCCGAAGCCAAAACAAAAUGAAACGUGGGCGCAAAGAUGAAUUAAAAAAGUUAUUCCGAGUUUCAACCAAUUGAGAUAUUGUUUGACAAGCGGAAAAAGAAUGGUUUUUCACGACUGACUCGUCUGUCUUUCUGUUCAACACGAAAAAGAGUGAAA